rnacentral:rRNA from 1 species
GACGAACGCUGGCGGCGUGCUUAACACAUGCAAGUCGAACGGAAAGGCCUCUUUCGGGGGGUACUCGAGUGGCGAACGGGUGAGUAACACGUGAGUAACCUGCCCUUGACUUUGGGAUAACUUCAGGAAACUGGGGCUAAUACCGGAUAGGAGCUCCUGCUGCAUGGUGGGGGUUGGAAAGUUUCGGCGGUUGGGGAUGGACUCGCGGCUUAUCAGCUUGUUGGUGGGGUAGUGGCUUACCAAGGCUUUGACGGGUAGCCGGCCUGAGAGGGUGACCGGCGGGGUGGGAGGUGAGACACGCGGCGGUGACGGAGGGGCAGGGACAGGAGGAGGACGGGAGCACGGGGGGGGAGGCGGGGGACGGAAGGGGGGGUGAGGGAUGACGGGGAUGGGGGCGGAGGCCGCUUUCGCUGGUGAGGGGGGUUGGGGUGAGGGUAGUGGGUAAAGAAGCGCCGGGUAGCGAGGUGCGGGCGGCCGCGAAAAUAAACGGAAGAGCAACCGACUAACC